rnacentral:rRNA from 1 species
UAAUACGGGGGGUGCAAGCGUUAUUCGGAUUUAUUGGGCGUAAAGAGCGCGUAGGCGGUUUAUCAAGUCAGAUGUGAAAGCCCUGGGCUCAACCUGGGAAGUGCAUUUGAAACUAGUAGACUUGAGUAUGGGAGAGGGGAGUGGAAUUCCUGGUGUAGAGGUGAAAUUCGUAGAUAUCAGGAGGAACACCGGUGGCGAAGGCGACUUCCUGGACCAAUACUGACGCUGAGGCGCGAAGGCGUGGGGAGCAAACAGGAUUAGAUACCCUGGUAGUCCACGCAGUAAACGGUGAUCACUAGGUGUAGCGGGUAUUGACCCCUGCUGUGCCGCAGUUAACGCAUUAAGUGAUCCGCCUGGGGAGUACGAUCGCAAGGUUAAAACUCAAAUGAAUUGACGG